GUAGCUCAGUUGGUUAGAGCACAUCACUCAUAAUGAUGGGGUCACAGGUUCAAAUCCCGUCUUAGCCACCA
rnacentral:tRNA from 1 species